rnacentral:rRNA from 1 species
GAGCUGGCGGGUGCUGAUACAUGCAAGUNNAGCGAACAGAAGGGAGCUUGCUCCCGGAUGUUAGCGGCGGACGGGUGAGUAACACGUGGGUAACCUGCCUGUAAGACUGGGAUAACUCCGGGAAACCGGGAGCUAAUACCGGAUAGUUCCUUGAACCGCAUGGUUCAAGGAUGAAAGACGGUUUCGGCUGUCACUUACAGAUGGACCCGCGGCGCAUUAGCUAGUUGGUGGGGUAAUGGCUCACCAAGGCGACGAUGCGUAGCCGACCUGAGAGGGUGAUCGGCCACACUGGGACUGAGACACGGCCCAGACUCCUACGGGAGGCAGCAGUAGGGAAUCUUCCGCAAUGGACGAAAGUCUGACGGAGCAACGCCGCGUGAGUGAUGAAGGUUUUCGGAUCGUAAAGCUCUGUUGUUAGGGAAGAACAAGUGCGAGAGUAACUGCUCGCACCUUGACGGUACCUAACCAGAAAGCCACGGCUAACUACGUGCCAGCAGCCGCGGUAAUACGUAGGUGGCAAGCGUUGUCCGGAAUUAUUGGGCGUAAAGGGCUCGCAGGCGGUUUCUUAAGUCUGAUGUGAAAGCCCCCGGCUCAACCGGGGAGGGUCAUUGGAAACUGGGAAACUUGAGUGCAGAAGAGGAGAGUGGAAUUCCACGUGUAGCGGUGAAAUGCGUAGCAGAUGUUG